ensembl:snRNA U4 U4 spliceosomal RNA
AUCUUUCGCAGAGUCAGUAUCGUAGCCUGUGAGGUUAUUCCGAGGCGCGAUCAUUGCUGGUUGAAGACUUUGCCCCAGGGGCAGUCGUGGGCUGGCAGUUAGGGAACUAGCCCUGUGACCGGAAGGUCGUCGGUUCAAUCCCCUUGGCUGACAGUCCAUGACUGAAGUGCCCUUGAGCA